GGCUGAUGCUCUCUGGGGAGUGGUCAGAGGAAGGAGGAGGUCGUGCAGUCCUUGGCUGCCCCAGAGCAGCCAGGCUCUGGGGCAGAACUGUGAGGCCUGGUGGAGCCUAGUGCAGGGCUCAGGAGAAAGGCUGAAUCGUCGGCCGACACCAAAGGGAAGACAAGGCACUUAUGACCCAGGUCGGUUGGGCCAGAAAUCCAAGUGGUAUCAGUGAAGAGGGAGACGGAACACUACACAGGAUGUAGGUCACUGCAGCUGCCCCCUCCCCUUCCUACCACAGGGUCCUCUCUUAGCUGGUCUCCAAGUGGGAACCCCAGCCUCAGGGUACGUGGAUUAAGAUGGAGCCGGUGCUGGUGAUAAGGUGGUCUGUCCUGAAUUUUUUAUGUCGUUACAAACAAAAGAAAGCCAUAAACCUAAGCAGCCUUCAAAUACGUUAUGGGAACCGCAGAUGGGCCCAGCGGAGCAGGGACACAGCCAUGAGUCUCAGGUGCUGCCUGAGGAAACUUUUAGCUUUGGGGUUGGUGGGCACUAGUGUUCUACUAAUCCCAAAAGGUUUUACCUGACAGUCAGUCCUGAAGGUGGGCAGUGGGACCAAAGACAGCUCUGGGGAAUUUGGCUUUGGACUGGCAGUAUUCCAACUCACCACAAGUGUGGAAUCGGAACCUCUGAGCUUGCAGAAUGCUCUCAGAUAGAUAAGCCCCCCACCCCUGGAACAUUACUCUACGUGACUGUGUAUAUCUGUACAAACCAGUUGGCACCCUGCAGGGACAACAGAAAAACUUAUCAUUGAGAGGAAGGUGGUAAACUCUCAUUUGGAGGAGACGGCUCCUCCACUGCCCACGGGUUUCUCAAGAAGACAGCGGUAUCCCCAGAGGGCCAGAGAGAAGGCUGUAGUCUCUGUUGAGGGAUUCUAAGCCGUUCGAGCCAGCAAGGCAGCCCAGGAUCCACCAUGGUCAACUUCAGCCUGCUUUCUGGCUCAACUGCCUGAAAGGUGGCUGGGAGCUCAGCAGCCUGGGUCCUGCUCCAUAGCCUUGCUGCACAGCCCUGCUCCACACCUGUGAACCAUCGUCUGCAUUUCAGCAAAUCCCGAGUGGCCAGAUCUGCUGUAGGAAACAAGACAGUCCCAGGAAGGCAUUCUCUUUGUAAAUCCCAGGCACCAAGGAUAAUCAGAUGGCGGCUAAAGUUGGAGAUAAGAUCACAACUGUCAUUUGUCACUCAGGAGGGGGUGGCCUGUGUUCUGUGGGGCUUUCCUCUGUGCUUAGAGAAAGUUAGAAGGUUGUCUUCUUCAACAUCCUCUGUGGGAUGGCAGUGCUAGGCCAGCAGGCCUCUCAGACCUCAGGGAAGGAUCAGGUCUAUGCACAGAUGCUAGGCCUGCCCUAACAGUUUGCCUGGUCUCAGGUCUGUGCACAGAUGCUAGGCCUGCCCUAACAGUUUGCCUGCUCUGUGCCUUCUCGAAGCUGCCCUCUGCUUCCAUAUGCUAACGUUCCAGCCCUGAUCUUUUUGUCCCAGAGUAGAAAGUGGGUAGAGUGUAGGGGGCACAUUUCCCAGAGUCUCUGGGAAGCCUUUGGAAAACCCCCUCUCCCACAGCCUUCUGUAGGCUGUCCCUAGAGGUUUCAUUUGUAAGGUUUAUUUA